rnacentral:rRNA from 1 species
GUCUACGGCCAUAUCACCCUGAACACACCUGAUCUCAUCUGAUCUUGGAAGCUAAGCAAGGUCGGGCCUGGUUAGCACUUGGAUGGGAGACCGCCUGGGAAUACCAGGUGCUGUAGGCU